CGUAGAUUCAUUUAUCAUACAUGCAAAACUUUAAAAAAUAAAUUGUUUACACAACAAUUGAAGCUACUCAAAUUAAUAUUUGAAAAUUUUGUUAAAAGUUAGGUUCCGGUUUAAAAGGUGGCUCAUUAUUUUUGUGAUGCAAUUAUUUUCUCUGUAGCUGUGUAUUUUUUCUACAUUGGCUAGAAAUAUAAGCGGAACAGGUUCAACCCCGCCACAUUUAAAUAACGCCUGUCCCAAGUCAGGAGCCUCUGGACUCUGUUAGUCUUCAGUUU
rnacentral:lncRNA from 1 species